AUUGAACGCUGGCGGCAGGCUUAACACAUGCAAGUCGAGCGGGGGAGGUUGCUUCGGUAACUGACCUAGCGGCGGACGGGUGAGUAAUACUUAGGAACCUGCCUAUUAAUGGGGGACAACAUCUCGACAGGGAUGCUAAUACCGCAUACGCCCUACGGGGGAAAGCAGGGGAUCACUUGUGACCUUGCGUUAAUAGAUGAGGCUAAGUCGGAUUAGCUAGUUGGUGGGGUAAAGGCCUACCAAGGCGACGAUCUGUAGCGGGUCUGAGAGGAUGAUCCGCCACACUGGGACUGAGACACGGCCCAGACUCCUACGGGAGGCAGCAGUGGGGAAUAUUGGACAAUGGGGGGAACCCUGAUCCAGCCAUGCCGCGUGUGCGAAGAAGGCCUUAUGGUUGUAAAGCACUUUAAGCGAGGAGGAGGCUCUUUUGGUUAAUACCCAAGAUGAGUGGACGUUACUCGCAGAGUAAGCACCGGCUAACUCUGUGCCAGCAGCCGCAGUAACAC
rnacentral:rRNA from 1 species